rnacentral:rRNA from 1 species
CCUACGGGAGGCUGCAGUGAGGAAUAUUGGUCAAUGGGAGGAAUCCUGAACCAGCCAUGCCGCGUGCAGGACGACGGCUCUACGAGUUGUAAACUGCUUUUGUACCGGGGUAAAAUGCCUUACGUGUAGGGUUUUGAAAGUACGGUACGAAUAAGGAUCGGCUAACUCCGUUCCAGCAGCCGCGGUAAUACGGAGGAUCCGAGCGUUAUCCGGAUUUAUUGGGUGUAAAGGGGGAGUAGGUUGUAUUAUAAGUUAGUGGUGAAAUACCGAUGCUCAACAUCGGGGCUGCAGCUAAUACUGUAGGACUAGAGAUCGGAUGCAGCAGGCGGAAUGUGUAGUGUAGCGGUGAAAUGCAUAGAUAUUACACAGAACACCGAUUGCGAAGGCAGCUUGCUAGGCCGGAUCUGACACUGAUGCACGAAAGCGUGGGGAUCGAACAGGAUUAGAUACCCGAGUAGUC